rnacentral:lncRNA from 1 species
UUUAAUUAAUAUGUUUUUAAUUCCUAGCCAUACAAAUAUUUAGCUAGAACAAUUCCGCUGCCUUAAUACAGAAGCUGCCCUUGUUGCUGAUAUGCCACCAGGUCAUCCAGCAUCCACAGGUACAACGAGUCCGACUCUCCGCUUCCACUCACCACCUGACUCAGCUGCUCUACCACCACCUCGUCCCCACCCGCCACCUCUUUCUUAGCAUACAUUUCCCCACCACCACCGCCGUGAUAUAAUGGAUCAUAAUAGUAAGAACCGGUCUGGAAACUCGGUUGAGUCGGCUCCACCCGAGUUGACUCAGCAACAAUGCACCGCCUCUUUGUCGGCGGCGGCGUAUCCGGCGCCAGAGAUGGAAGCGGUGAAGAGGAUGGUGGUUGGGCAAAGUUGAGCUUGGCCUUGUCCCCGCGGAUGCGCACGGCGGCUUCAUCGUAAGCGCGGGCGGCUUCCUC